rnacentral:misc_RNA from 1 species
GGACUACAGGGGUUUCUAAUCCCGUUUGCUCCCCUAGCUUUCGCGCCUCAGCGUCAAGAGUGGGCCAGAAAGUCGCCUUCGCCACUGGUGUUCCUCCGGAUAUCUACGCAUUUCACCACUACACCCGGAAUUCCACUUCCCUCUCCUGCCUCCGAGUCGAACAGUAUCGAAUGACCCUCCCCAGUUGAGCCGGGGGCUUUCACAUUCGACUUAUACGACCGCCUGCGCGCUCUUUACGCCCAGUAAAUCCGGACAACGCUUGCCACCUACGUAUUACCGCGGCUGCUGGCACA